UACGUAGGGGGCAAGCGUUGUCCGGAAUCAUUGGGCGUAAAGAGCGUGUAGGCGGUUCGGUAAGUCGGCUGUGAAAGUCCAGGGCUCAACCCUGGGAUGCCGGUCGAUACUGUCGGGCUUGAGUACGGAAGAGGCGAGUGGAAUUCCUGGUGUAGCGGUGAAAUGCGCAGAUAUCAGGAGGAACACCAAUUGCGAAGGCAGCUCGCUGGGACGUUACUGACGCUGAGACGCGAAAGCGUGGGGAGCAAACAGG
rnacentral:rRNA from 1 species